rnacentral:lncRNA from 1 species
CCCUGGGCCAAUCCGUGCCCCCUCAGCUCCUCUUGCCCCAGAUCCAGGGAAGGGAAACUAACAUUUACUGAGUGACCGGCAUUUCUCGUGCGUUAUGUCAGGCGAUGGCAGGACCUGCAAUGAGUGCUGUGAAGAAGGAAUGCCUCAACCCAGCGGGGGUGAGGAAGCAGGAGGGGUGCCGGUGAGCGGGACCCUGAUAUGAGGGAACCUGUCAGUCCAGCGAGCCCAGGCGCUCCUCAGCUGAACAAAAGGAGGAACGUUGGCAGUUUGGUUUAGAGAAGUGGGGACCACACAUAAGCCCACACUGGCUUCACUCAAGAGAGACCUGCUGGUUAUUUGCUCCAAGCCCGGUGCUGGGUGGGGAGGCGAUCCAGGAUUCUGAAGCCCAUUGCGAGACUGCACACCAUGGCGUGUGGAUUCAGGCUAGAAAACAGGGCUCCUUUCUGUUUUUCUUGGUGUUGCAUUAAAUAAAUAUAUACGAUAC